GUCCCGGGCUCCGAACGGCUCCUGGGGAGGAGCAUGAUUGAAUCAAAUAUUCCCCAGUCCCUGGUCCCCUUGUCAUUGUCAGGACCAGUCUGACUUAUUCUCAGGUUAUCGGAGGCAGGUGGCCCCGGGAAGCCUCAUUGCCACAUCCGACAGGGUGUGAUUGAAGAUUUGGGGGACACUAGACGUUAAGAGAUUAGGAGGGUAGACCAGCAAAUCAGCAUGCUGAGAAAAGGAGUGAUGCAGUGUAGGCGGCAGUGGAGGAUGGAUAGAUGGACAUUAUUCAUCUAUCCGUUACGGAAUGAGGUCCCCACACAAAAAGAAUUGGAGAGAAGUCAAGUUAAGAGAUGGAGAUAACAUCAUUUGAGCCCCAGGUCCAACCAGAGCUGAAGCAGACUAAAUUUUCGUAGUGGAUCUAGUUAUGAGUGCAGGUGGUGGGGAAGAAGACCCCUGGUGCCCUCAGAACAACCGGGAGCCUGGGGGAGUCUCCCAGGUCAUCACAGUGCCUGCUUUUGAUCAUCUGGGAACCAGUCACUCCCUUGGGACAAGCAGAGCUGAAAGGGAACGUUCCUAGGAAGGAGGCCCAGCACCCUGUGCCAGUCUCAGACCUCUGGGAUUCAACCUCCUGGCUCAACAAACACUGCCCCUUUCUCUAUUUACCAUGUUCAUAUGCCCAACACCUGGUCAAAGGAACAGCUGGAAGGAGCCUGGCCUGGAAAGCCCUUCAUCUUUCCCCUCCUCUCAAUCCUGGGAACCAAGAGGGGAUUUCUAAGGAGAGGGGCUGGCCAGCUCAUAUUCAGACAAAUCCCCAAAUUUCAAGGAAUUGACAUGUGGGGGAGGGGAGAAGUUAUUUCCCAUCCAUAUAAGACCAGAGGUAGACCAGAAAAGGUGUCAAAAGGGGAAUUAAUAUGUGGGACUCCCAUUCAACACCCCCACCCCCAUGAGACCUGGACACUCUUCUGGAAGGUGGGGUGGAUAUUCCCCCAUAAGUUUCUGACUUAUCUUUCUUUCCAUCCAUUAAUAAUAAUAACAGUAAUAGUAUUUUUUUUGGUAUCAUUACAUGAGGAACAUUAUGUUUACCAGACUCUCCC